AUGAAGUUUCACAACAUGGUAAACAUACAAGAGGAGAACUUAACAGAUUCCUGAGAAAAGAAGAUGUUAUAGGAGGUGCUUUGACUCUGCACUCCGUGGGCGUUCACAAUGGACCUCCACGAGAUCCCACAGAGUCCCCAGUGCACAGUGGAGUGUUUUAUUCUGCCUUUCUGUUUCCAAUUCUGCAAUGGAGCUUCUUUCAGGCAAUCUUCAUCUGUGUCUUUACUUCAGGCGCUAUCAGUCAGGGACAAAAUCUGCAGAAAGCAGAUUUAAAGUGAGAACAGCUUGCAAGAAGCAAGAAGGUCUACUGAAGGUCAGUAACUCUUUGCUGCGGGCAUGUGAAGCAGUGGUGUACUGUUGACAGCUGGGUCGAUGAAAGACAGUGUGUGGAAGACAGCUUGAAUGCAUGUGAUGACCCAGGGCAGAGGAACAUCGGAAGGAGAGUUUGAAACCAUGGAGGUGAACCCUUGUGGAAGGCAUCUGAGAGAAAGUACUGGCUUUGGAAAAGAUUCCAAGGUGAUGUCUUGGAGAGUGGAGACUGGAAACCCUCAUGUGUAAGACCAGUUGGCUCACCUUGUAAUAAACAUCUGGGGGGGGAGUUAAGGAGAGAUAUGUAGCAUCUGGUUGAGGUGGCAUCUGCCACUUGGUUUCAGAGUGUGGUGUGCCUGACCACAGGGCACCUAUUGAUAGAUGAACUGUGUAUUUACUGUGAACAUUAAACUAUAAGAUAACUUUUGUAACUUGUGUUAACCUAUAAAUCUGUAUAUAUCUGUAAAGAUAUUGUUAUAGGUGAAGGAGAAUUGUAAUAUUGUUCACCAUUUCCUGUUUCAUAAAU